rnacentral:rRNA from 1 species
GACGAACGCUGGCGGCGUGCUUAACACAUGCAAGUCGAACGGAAAGGCCCUGCUUUUGUGGGGUGCUCGAGUGGCGAACGGGUGAGUAACACGUGAGUAACCUGCCCUUGACUUUGGGAUAACUUCAGGAAACUGGGGCUAAUACCGGAUAGGAGCUCCUGCUGCAUGGUGGGGGUUGGAAAGUUUCGGCGGUUGGGGAUGGACUCGCGGCUUAUCAGCUUGUGGGUGGGGGAGUGGCUUACCAAGGCUUUGACGGGUAGCCGGCCUGAGAGGGUGACCGGCCACAUUGGGACUGGGAUACGGCCCAGACUCCUACGGGGGGCAGCAGUGGGGAAUAUUGCACAAUGGGCGGAAGCCUGAUGCAGCAACGCCGCGUGCGGGAUGACGGCCUUCGGGUUGUAAACCGCUUUCGCCUGUGACGAAGCGUGAGUGACGGUAAUGGGUAAAGAAGCACCGGCUAACUACGUG